AAAAACGUUAUUAAAGAUCUAGACCUAAAUUAAUUAAUUAACUUGACUUAGACUUAGACACAGUAAGUCUAAGGCCUAAAUAACUUAUAAGGCUAUUAGAUCUACUUUUCUUAUUACAUAGUCUAAAUUAGUUUCUAGAUCUAGAAGUAGGGCUAGCACUAGAUAACUAGAUCUAGAAGUAGACUCUAGAUCUAUCUAGAAAUAGACUUAGAAGGUGAUAGAUCUCUAGAUUCUAGAUUUCUAUGUAUCAUUAUGUAAAUUUAGUUCUAUUAUAGACUAUAGAUUUAGACAUACAUAUUUAGAUCUCUAAUAUAAUUAUUAUAAUCUGUGUUCUUAGACAUAGAGGACUUAUUAGAUAUAGAUCUAGACUAGUACUAGUAGACUCUUAAAUUAUUUUAGAUCUAGAACUAUAUACAAGAUCUAGUGUGACUAGAGUAGAGCCCUAGAAUUAGAAAAGGAUAGAUAAUCAAGUAGAUCUAGAAUAAUCUAGACUAGAUUUCACUAGAUCUAGUCAAUAGAUUUAGACCUAGUAGUAACAAAUAAAAAUUAUUUGUUUUUUUAGUUUUUGUUCUUUAGGAGGGGUUUUGGGCCAAAGUCUUGUUCGGGUCUCUUGAUUUAGAAUGCACCAUUGAAGGACAUGGUCAGCAUUCUCUGGUGAUGGGCAAGUUUCUCUAGUCCCGACAUUUAACUUCCAGAACAUAUAUUGUCUCAUUCAGUGAACAAGCCUUUUCCUUUGUGGAGACUAAACAAGCAUUACUACUGGUCGAUUUUGACUGACUGUAAUUUGACAGCAGUCACAAGGAUAGAAACUAGUAAGCUAGUUCCACAGUUCCGGAACAUCAUGCACGAGUGUAAAAAGUAAAAUACUGCACAUUAAGUACAACUGUAUAUUUGUCAGGAUAUUUUAAUGUAAAAUGACAACAGCAAUUUGAAAAAAAAAUCGUAAAAUUGGUUUAAAUAAUUGCUAACUCUUGUUGUAAUUCCUUAACGUGAAGUGUGGGAAAAAAAAAGAAACAUGAAUAUAAUACAGUGUAAAUAUGAAUUAAAAGACAUUCUACACAGUUAGCUUAGAGUGUCUCUAUAAGUUGUAUAUAAAUAUGCGGCCCGCCAUUCCCAAUUUUUAAAAUAAUGCGGCCCUCGAUACAAAAAGGUUGCCCACCCCUGAUCUAAGAUAUUCAUGUUUUGGAUGUUAUGUAUGUCGACAUACCCGAUUUGAUUUUCUGGCCCAAUAAGGAGAGUCUCAGGCCUAAAAAAUUUAUUUGUACUUAUGACAGGAAGAUGACAGUAAUAAAUGACUGUUUUGAAAUUUUCAUUGAGAGACCUAGCAGCGUUAAAGCACAGGCACAAACCUAUUCUUCCUAUUAGCACAACACAGUAAAAUAUCUGAUUGGAACUCAUUACUUUCAAUAAAUGAAUUAAAAAUAUUUAUACUAAGCUUUAUAGUUUCUUUGGAUUUAAUAGCCUUUAAAUUUUUAUUUUUAGAAGUGAUGUUGUUCACAAGAGAAUCAAAUUUAACUUUUUGUUUUUUAAUGAGGUGAUAUCAAUCUCAGAAACCUUAGUUGGCAAAACUUUUUUAAGCUCUGAUGGAUUUAUCCAGUAAGAUAACAAGCCUGUAACUGUCUUACUCUCUUUUAGCCUGGUGUUGGCUUCCAGCAUAAAUAAAGUGUCUGCCACAUUUCUUCUUCUUCAUCGUUCUCAUUGUUAUGUUGGAGUGUUCAUAUGACUAGACCAGUACAUGAGAUGAACUGCGCAGUGGUUUCCAAAUCAGGUAGCUCUCCAUAUAGUUUUCUUUCUAUUGGGGUGAUUUGGGGCCAAUGUCUUAUACGGGCCUCUUGGUAGAGAGAGUAGUUUUGGAGGACGUGGUCGGCAUUUUCUGUUGAUACUCCACAUGGGCAGAUUUCACUGGUUCCAAUUUUGAGCUUCCGGAACAUGUGUUGUCGCAUUCUGUUGUGUCCGGUCCUGAGUCGAAAGAUUAGACGUUGGUCUUGUCGGGAUAGCUUAUAGCAGUGAUGCCCAAAGUAAGGCCCGCGGGCCAGAGUCGGCCCACGACGUGGUUCCAUCCGGCCCGCCGAAAAGUCGGCACUAAAUGUAAUAAAUUCUCCCCCCUUCAAAAAAAGUUGAAAAUGUAUCUUUACCUUUGUUAGGGCCCUCACUUUUUCUCUUAUUGGAUUGGUACCAUGACCUUUUAACGAGUAUGAGUUUGUGAAACGGAACUCUGAAUGAAGAAUCCUAUCUUCUUAUCUUAUAUAAUACAGACAUUACUUCAAAAAAGAAUCUACCCAGAAAAGUGAAUGGAUCUUUUUUGUGGAACAUGAUAAUAAGCCAACAUAUUUUGUUUGUAAAGAAAGUCUGGCUGUUAACAAAAACAACAUAUACACUGGAAUUAUAAAACAAAUAUGAAGACCUUCUUGGUUUGAGCCGCUUAUAAAAGAUUGGUUAAACUAUGCCUAGAGAUUUGAACAAAAAGAGACAAGAAAAUAGUUGGUGGUAAAAGUAGCUACAAUGCUUCUCUCAUUUUAAGUAGAAAUGAAGCAACAUUUUUUAGACGCGUAAAAAUGAUAGACUAUAACUAUCCCAUUAAUUAAUGUAAGAACUAGAUCAAAUAGUUUCAAAUGGUUUCAGGUGAAUUUUGAUUUCAUAUUUUACCAUUUUGUUGAUGUGGCCCGCAACACACGUGUCGAAAGUUAAAAUGGCCCGCAGGUCAAAUUAGGUUGAGCAUCACUGGCUUAUAGUAAGCGUCAUCUUUCUUGUGAUUUGGAUGGGAGCUCGUCCAUUUCUCAUUUAUUUUAUCUACAAUUAAUUUCUUCUGGAUAGAGUGCAGAGUUUACUUGUGAGUUUGUUCUCCCACUCUUGGCGAGUGUGUCAGCCUUCUCAUUUCCUGCUAGUUGUAUGUGAGCUGGUAUCCAUUGAAUAACAGUUUUUUUGCUGUUGUUGUUGAGCUUUGUAAGUGCUGUUCUGAGGUUUUUAAUAUGAGGGGAAUCAGAGUUUUGCAAGCUUUGGAGGUUUGUUUUCGCGUCUGUUAGAAAGACAAUCUGACUGUGAGGGGAACUUGGAUGAUUUGCUAACAUGGUAGCAGCUAGUGCUAGUGCUUCUCUUUCUGCUCUGUGACUGUCAGAGAACUCUCCAGUUGCAAUGGAUUUUUCUAGUUUUCCUCCAUCUGGCCAUUCGAUAAGUAUUCCAGCUCCUCCAUUUGUGGUGGCUUUAUGGGAUGAGUCAUCCGUGUAAACUCUGAUCCACUGAUUGCUAGGGUAAUUGGUAUGUAGAAAACAGUUCACUAUUUCCUUGAGCUCUGUUGGUCUGUAAUCAGAUUUCUUUUUAUGUUUUCAAUAUGGUCCCUUAUAGUAGGAAGAGGGCUUUCAUCCCAGGGUGGAGAUUCAUUAUAGUGUAUUGAGGAUUCCAGAGUAAUUUUUUCAAGUUGGUGUUUCUUUUUUAGGUUUAGAGAUUCCUGUAUGAAAUUGGUCCUUUUGAGACGUUUUUUUGUGCCAGUUUUGUGGAUUUUUGUUCUGAGUGGGUGCCUCUCCAAGGUUUCCAAUUUAGUGAAUUGGGAAAGGAUUUUUAUUUCUCUUCUUUCAUCCAGAGAGAUCAGGGCAGCGGUUUCCUCCAUAGCUCUUAUGGGUGUUGUUUUGAUUGCUCCUGUCAUUAUCCUUUGACCAAUAUUUUGAACCUUGUCUACUUUUCUUAGGUUGGUUUGGGCUGCUGAGCCCCAUGCUGUGGCACCAUACAGGUCUUACAUAACUGGUAUAGGUCUUUUUCAGGAUGUUGUGAUUAGCUCCCCAAUCUGUGCCAGCUAAUUUUUUCAAGAGGGAUAGUCUCUGGAUGCCUUUACUCUGUGUUUUAUCUAUUUGGUUUUUCCAGGUUAGUCUCGGGUCAUAGGUGACUCCAAGAUAAGUAGGGCUGUCAUUUUUUUUCUAAAUCUUCCAAAUCUAAUGUUAAUUUUAUUGUUUGUUGUUUUGUUGACAGUGAGAAUAUGGUAUAUGUGGUCUUUUUUGUGUUGAUGGACAUGCCCCAGUCUUUGGACCAAUUAUUGAGUUUAUCAAGAGCAUCUUGUAAUCGAAAUUUCAAUGUUCCUACAUAUUCUUCUGUGCUAAUUAUGGCAAGGUCAUCUGCAUACAUGCUGCUUUUAACUUUUCUAGGUGGCGAUUUUAUUGUUUACCAUGGAGUUGUCUACUUUUCAAAUUUUACUGACCAAGUUUUUUACAGUGACUGAUCCAUCAGCAGUUUCUGAAGCAGUAACUGAUAUCUCAAAAAAAUUUCGCUUUUCUGAUGGUGUCUAGUCACCUCAGGACCAGACACAACAGAAUUCGACAACAUAUGUAUUGGAAGCUCAAAAUCAGAAACUGAAAUCUGCCCAUGUGGAGUGUCACCAGACAAUGUUGACCAUCUUCUCCAAAACUGCUCUCUUUACCAAGAGGCUGUACAUGACACUGGCCCCAAAACAUGCCAAUAGAAAGAAAACUAUAUGGAGAGUUCCCUAAUUAGGAAACCACUGUGAAAAUAAUCUCAUAUACUAGUCCAGUCAUCUGAAUGCUCCAAUAAAAAAAUGAGAAGGAAGAAGAAAGAAGAUUGUAUGUACCAUUUUUGUUUGUUUGAGGAUGGGGAGAAAAGUGAUCUUAGAAUUCAAACACCAAAAGUAUGUGUCUUUAUGAAUUCAAUGUAAUUGAUACUAGGCUUUUUGGGCUGAAAAUAAAAUGCGGGAAAUUUUAUUGGAAGUGCAGAAAAAAAAAAUGUUUUUAGCCAAAAUAAACAAUGUAUAGCCUGAGAACAAAUCAGGUGGAAGAACCAAGGGUAAUGCUAGUAUACUAUAGAAGUAUCUUUUUUAUGCUUGCAACUUUAUAGAUGCAUAACAGUGUCACAAACUGUUUGUUAAUGUGAUAUGAAACAUAAUUUUUUUAUUUUUUUUGUUACACCUAUAAUCGCUCUAAAAUAGAUAACUGUCUCUAGUAACCUGCUAGUUGACCAUGACCAACCUUUUUCUAUCUUGCUUUGUAUGGUAUAAACUUUCCUAGUUUUGACUUUAAAUUGUUGUUCUAGUCAUGUCAGUUAUGCUUUAGGCUACUUUUAAUUGCAUGUAAAAGAUAAAAAUAGUGAAAACAAGAGUACAUAACAUUUUGUAAAGAAAUUAUUAAUAUUUUGCAUUUUUAGGGGAGCAACAUGGCUAUUGAAAAGCAGAGACCAUACAAACCUCAUAGAUGAAGAGUUUUAUUUUGUUGGUAAAGUCCUUGGUUUUGAGCCAGCAGAGAAACAUAGAAAGCUCUAUUUUGACAAAUAUAAAGAGUGACUUUAGCUCAACUCCUCACCAAGCUUUACAGUCUGUGACAUUUUUUUGGUAAAACUUUUAAUCAGAUUUAUGUGUGUAUACUUAAUUAACUACAUUUAUCAAGAAUACUAAAUUCAUAAAAAGAAGCUGCUUUAAAGGAUUAAAGAUAACUUUGACCCUUUUGAGAAAACAAAUUUAAACACAAGAUUUUGAAUUAAUUUUGUAAUUCUUUUAUAUUGUUUUUUUCUGAAAGCCACAUAACGACACAAGUAUUUAUUCAAGGUUUUGAAUGUAUGGUAUACUGUUAGGUUUAGUAUUGAGUCAUUCAGUAAAUUGUUUUUGUUUUGUGGUUUUUAUAAAUUAAUAAAUGGAAGUUUAUAUAAUGUGUUAUGCUUAUAUGUAUGAUUUUUUUUACUGAUCUAAAGAAAGAAACUUGAGGAUUUAAAUUUUUAUUCCUUUUGAAACAUGUAAGAAAUAUUAGAACAUUGGUUGGCAACAUUAUUAGUGUAAAAAUGUAUUUCACUUGGUAGUCAAGAAUGUUUAUAACUGAGAUGACAUCACUAAUUGUGGUUAACAAGGGUGCCAUGUUGUCAGCACAAUAACCAACCGCCUUUACUUUUCCUAACUCAUAUCAGGUACCCAUUAGAGCUGGGUGGACUCAAAGGCACCAUAAAGAUCCCAAAAUUAAAAUACCCAUCUUCACCAGGAUUUGAACCCAGGGUCCUCCUGUUUGGAAGUCAAGUGCUUUACCACUCAGCCACAUGCCUCCAUUAAAGGCUAGAUUUUGUGACAAUUAUUUUUAGGUCAGAGACUGAUGUAUGCACAAAGUUGUAGCUUUUUUAAAUUUUUAUUAAAUUUAUUUGUAUUUAACCACUGACUUAUUAAUCUCUGAAUUUUCAAAUUUAAGUUUGUAAUCAGUUAGUGUUGACCUUGGCUUGAUAAGCUAAAAGGAUUAACAAUAAUAAUAAUAAUAAUUAUAGCUUGUAUGUAGUGCUACUUUCAUGCUUACAGCAUGCUCAGAGUGCUGUGUUCCAAUCUUAUGUGUGGACCAGUAGGGGGGGGGGGGUUUGGGAGAGGGUUUUCCGUGCUGCCUUCGGGUACUCAGUAAACAGAACUCUGCUUGAAUCGUGUGUUGAACCUAGAGUCACCUUGAUAGGUAGCCGAGCCAAGCCAAGUUCAAGCAUACUUAGCCUCUUGACCACGCCUCCACAUUGAAAUUAAAUUGUAAAUGUUAAAUAUUUUUAAAAAUUUAAUACAGAAUUUGAUAUUUAUGAAAUAUUUAAUACAGAAUUUGAUAUUGAUUACAAAAAAUAAUACAGAAUUUGAUAUUGAUACCA